rnacentral:lncRNA from 1 species
CUUCAGUGGCUGGUAAUGGUUUUUCCUUUCUAUAUUGAGUGCUUCCUUCAGGAGCUCUUGCAAGGUAGGCCUGGUGGUGGCAAAUUCCAUUUGCCUUAUGAAUCUGGGUGCUCCAGUGUUGGAUAGCCAUAUAUUUAGAACUGUUAUAUCCUCUUGCUGGAUUGAUCCAUUUAUCAUUAUAUAAUGACCUUCUUUGUAUUUUUUUUACUGUUCUUGACUUACAGACUGUUUUAUCUAAGUACAGCUACUGUUGUGCACUAGUUGGAUCUUUUUUUUUUUAAAUUCCAUUCAGCCAGCCAUUCUGUAUCUUGUAAAUGGAUAAUUUAAGGUUUCUGUUCAAAGUUAUUAUUGAUAUGUGAGGCUUUGUUCCUAUCAUGUUAUUAAAUUGUUUUCUUGUUGUUUACAUCUUCUUUCUUCCUUUCUUUUUAUCUUACUGCUUGUCAUUGUGGUUCGGUGGAUUUCUGUAGUGGUACAAUUUCAAGAAUCUAAGAGGAGGCUGGGCACGGUGGCUCACACCUGUAAUCCCAGCACUUUGGGAGGCAAGGUGGGCAGAUCACGAGGUCAGGAGAUCAAGACCCUCCUGGCCAACAUGUUGAAACCAGACACUUCCCUUCACUCCAGGGAUGACUGGCUGGUUCUUUGUGGCCAUCAGCCUCCACUCUGGCUUCAG